rnacentral:rRNA from 1 species
CAGUCGAGCGAUUCUCUUCGGAGAAGAGCGGCGGACGGGUGAGUAACCCUUGGGUAACCUGCCCUAUACACACGGAUAACAUACCGAACGGUAUGCUAAUACGAGAUAACAUAAGAGAUUCGCAUGGAUUUCUUAUCAAAGCUUUUGCGGUAUAGGAUGGACCCGCGUCUGAUUAGCUAGUUGGUAAGGUAACGGCUUACCAAGGCGACGAUCAGUAGCCGACCUGAGAGGGUGAUCGGCCACAUUGGAACUGAGACACGGUCCAAACUCCUACGGGAGGCAGCAGUGGGGAAUAUUGCACAAUGGGCGAAAGCCUGAUGCAGCAACGCCGCGUGAGCGAUGAAGGCCUUCGGGUCGUAAAGCUCUGUCCUCAAGGAAGAUAAUGACGGUACUUGAGGAGGAAGCCCCGGCUAACUACGUGCCAGCAGCCGCGGUAAUACGUAGGGGGCUAGCGUUAUCCGGAAUUACUGGGCGUAAAGGGUGCGUAGGUGGUUUCUUAAGUCAGAGGUGAAAGGCUACGGCUCAACCGUAGUAAGCCUUUGAAACUGAGAAACUUGAGUGCAAGAGAGGAGAGUAGAAUUCCUAGUGUAGCGGUGAAAUGCGUAGAUAUUAGGAGGAAUACCAGUUGCGAAGGCAGCUCUCUGGACUGUAACUGACACUGAGGCACGAAAGCGUGGGGAGCAAACAGGAUUAGAUACCCUGGUAGUCCACGCCGUAAACGAUGAGUACUAGC